CUAACACAUGCAAGUCGAGCGGCAGCACGGGUACUUGUACCUGGUGGCGAGCGGCGGACGGGUGAGUAAUGCCUAGGAAUCUGCCUGGUAGUGGGGGAUAACGUUCGGAAACGAACGCUAAUACCGCAUACGUCCUACGGGAGAAAGCAGGGGACCUUCGGGCCUUGCGCUAUCAGAUGAGCCUAGGUCGGAUUAGCUAGUUGGUGAGGUAAUGGCUCACCAAGGCGACGAUCCGUAACUGGUCUGAGAGGAUGAUCAGUCACACUGGAACUGAGACACGGUCCAGACUCCUACGGGAGGCAGCAGUGGGGAAUAUUGGACAAUGGGCGAAAGCCUGAUCCAGCCAUGCCGCGUGUGUGAAGAAGGUCUUCGGAUUGUAAAGCACUUUAAGUUGGGAGGAAGGGCAGUUACCUAAUACGUAAUUGUUUUGACGUUACCGACAGAAUAAGCACCGGCUAACUCUGUGCCAGCAGCCGCGGUAAUACAGAGGGUGCAAGCGUUAAUCGGAAUUACUGGGCGUAAAGCGCGCGUAGGUGGUUCGUUAAGUUGGAUGUGAAAUCCCCGGGCUCAACCUGGGAACUGCAUUCAAAACUGUCGAGCUAGAGUAUGGUAGAGGGUGGUGGAAUUUCCUGUGUAGCGGUGAAAUGCGUAGAUAUAGGAAGGAACACCAGUGGCGAAGGCGACCACCUGGACCUGAUACUGACACUGA
rnacentral:rRNA from 1 species